CAGGAAAACUAACUCGUUUUCCUGGCACUAUAGUUUUAAUAGGUCCCCCCCCUACCUAUUAAAACUAUAGUGCCAGGAAAACGAGUUAGUUUUCCUGGCACUAU